CCUAUCGGCGGAAGAGGACGAAGAGUAUGUAUGAUCCCCAACAUUUCCUAGAUUUGCAAGGCGAUUCGGGAGUCGGAGACUCGGACUCCAGGCUCUCCAGCGGCCUCACCAGUCCUCCGCCGCCACCAGCUCCGGAAAUGGGAACCUCGAUCGCCGUCUCUUCAAUGACCUUGUCGAGAUGGUGCCUCUCAUUACAUCGUAAUCUCUCUCUCUCUCUUUCUCGGACGUUUUCUUGAGCUCUGAGCGACGGGGAAGGCGAGAAAGUUGAAGAUGCAGUGAGAAAUUUAUACACGGGUUAUUGAUGUUCCCAUACCGGUUCGGAUCAGGAAACCGAAACCGAGAUUCACCGAUUAAAAUAAAUCGCAAGCCACCUUGAAUAAAUCAAAGAUGACCCAGUCUUCCCUCUCUUGUAGGAACUGAUACCCACUUCUGUUAUGUUUCCUUGUCUGUAGCAUCACUUCUUUAUGUAUUUAAAGACCAAAAAUGUCACAUUUUUGGCAUUUUUGGAUGUGAGAUUCCUGGGAAAUUAAGUAUUUAGAUUCCCUUCUCAGAUGGAUUUUGAUGAUUUUCAACAGAAAGAAAGAAUGGUGAGUUUGCUAACUUCUCUUGCGCUUUGAUCUACUCUCUCUCCGAUGUCAUUAUGUACAAGACUUAGUUAAAGAGCUUUUGUUAUCUGGUCUCUUUUCCUUUUUGGGUUAUAAAUAUUUAGCUUUAAAUAGAUGUGAGUGUUAAGGUAUGUCUGGUAAAAGAUGUCAGGAUGAAUAGUUUCUGUGUUCAUGCCUUGUGUCCAAGUUUUUGAACUUUGGUUUCCAUCUUCAAUCCUUCCUCACCAAAUGUUGAUGGUUCUUUCAUUUUGGAUGAACUUCUGGGUUACCCUCUUUUACAAAUGCUUGGAAGUCUCAUUUGUAUUGGAAGGUCCCUGAUCCGAGGGGGCUGAGUGCUUCUCAAUCGAUCCCAGGAAGAAAGAGAAGAGACCCUGAAGGCAAAAACUGAUGCUAAGAGUGAAAAUAAAGAGCAAGACGACGGAAGUGUGAGGGCUUGGACUACUACUGAAAGGGAAGAAAUGAAGUUAAUGGAACUGUCAAAGAAUCAAGUGAACGAGACUCAUACAAAGCUUGAAGAGAUGAAGCGUUUGGUCCGGGAGAAGGGGUCUUUCGUUAAGUCUGUGCAGUCACAAUUAUCUGACACAAAAGGUAACCUCUUCUCUUAUGCUUCUUUGUAGUUUUUCAUUUGUGUUUCACACUCUUUUGUAUGACCCGUUGGGUACGAAGAUGGAGAAAUUUUGUUGCUUUAGGUGUUGAUACUUUUUUGGAUUCUUGAAAUUCUCUGUCGGUUACCGGUGGGCUGCCCUCUAUAUCAAGAACGGUUAAUGUCCCAAGCCAAACUCGUGUCGGAAUUUUUCUUUUUCUCUCGAUUUCUAGCUGUUCGUCAAUUUGUCCUUGUUUGCACUUGAUCAAACUUGCUUCCAAGCAAGUGGCCCUUGAGAAGACAAUGGGAAGCAAAGACGUCAGGCACAGAAGCAACUGAGCUUCAAGAACAGCUACAUGUUGUGAAGGAGAGGUCUCCUCAUUCAUGAGGUUAUUGGAAGCCUUGGCAAAAACUGAUUCCAAGAAAUAUGAUGGAGAUUAUGAUGUGACACCAUAUGAAUCCGACCGUCUUCCUUAUUAUGAAAACGACCUCAGGGAAAUGGAAGAAGCAAGGCAUUGCAGCUGUUGCUACCGCAGUGGAAAACAAGAUGAAGAAUCUCUGGCCGCCGCUGCAAAGGCGAGAGAAUUCUUGCAGUCACUAGCCGUUAGGUACUAAUCUCUAGGAAUUUACCACUCUUUGUUUGUUUGUUUGUCUGUUUGCUUUAGGAUGUAUGCUAAAACUCAGAAUGGAUAUAUAGAUAUGUCCCUGAAAUUGAGUUGUUUGGUUUCAUUUCCGGGUUCUCGAGUUUUUCUGCAUAAGAAGUCGGGAAAUGUAAAAUCGGAUUUGUAUAAAUGAAAAGUCGCUUUUAAGAGUUU